rnacentral:rRNA from 1 species
ACGGAGGGUGCGAGCGUUGUCCGGAAUCACUGGGCGUAAAGGGCGCGUAGGCGGCCCGGUAAGUAGGGGGUGAAAUCCUGCGGCUUAACCGCAGGGCUGCCUUCUAAACUGUCAGGCUAGAGCACGGUAGAGGCAGAUGGAAUUCCCGGUGUAGCAGUGAAAUGCGUAGAUAUCGGGAGGAACAUCUGUGGCGAAGGCGACACCCUGGACCAGCACUGACACUGAGGCACGAAAGCGUGGGGAGCAAACAGGA